rnacentral:miRNA from 1 species
UGCCAAAGGAGAUUUGCCC